rnacentral:tRNA from 1 species
GGCUGGAUCACCUCCUAACAGGGAGACAACAACUGAUCGUGAUGUCUGAGUCAUUUAAUCUCAGGCCAUGAUCCUGUCAUCUCGAAGGUCGAUCGGUACCUCAACUUGAGGGUAAGAGAAGGGCUGAGAAAUCAGCUUAGAGACUUACGAAUCAAUUUCAGUUCCUAAACUUUGUCUAGGUCACCCCACAGAGGGUAAAGCCGAGAGCAUGAGCAGCGAUGCGAGUGCUGAACUGGCAAGCCACAAGGCGAGCUGGAAGCGGCAACAACUCCUGGGCCAUUAGCUCAGGUGGUUAGAGCGCACCCCUGAUAAGGGUGAGGUCCCUGGUUCAAGUCCAGGAUGGCCCAUUCGUGUUUGGGGGUUUAGCUCAGUUGGUAGAGCGCCUGCUUUGCAAGCAGGAUGUCAGCGGUUCGAGUCCGCUAACCUCCAUAUCAACGAUGAACCUCAAGGCACGCUAAGGAGAAGUCCUUGGUGAUGGUGAUGUAGACGAACAGGUAAAAGCUGAGAGUUCAGCCUCCAGCCAUUCCCUCAGAGGGUUGGAUGGAUGCUGAAUUCAGCGUAGCAACCAAGGCAAGGAUCAACCGCGUCUUGAUUGUGAGCGAGAAUUCAGCCAAAGAACCUUGACAACUGCAUAGGUGAGUCUGGAAAGAAAGCAUCUCAUGGAUGCCGGAAGCUCCAGGUUGAGUGCUGAGUGAUCAAUCCAGCAAUGGUUUGAGAGCUUAGUGUGAGAUCAGGAGUGGAUGGAGAUUCUAUGAACAGAGCCGAGACCAGCAAACGUCUUGUCCCUCGCCGAGAGGAGAUGAGNUUUGAGGUCGGUAUCUCAAGGCUGUAGAGGAGAGCUGUUGACCGCGCAAUAAACCGCAAGGUGAAUGGCU